rnacentral:lncRNA from 1 species
CAAGAACUUACGCUGUGGAGAAUUUCCCCCCAGCUUUGCUUUGGGGAGAUAAAAGCUUGAGAGGAAAGCAGACAUGGAAACACAGAAACCGUCCUCUGUACAACAAAUGAUCUGACAGUCGUAGAGCUGAAGGCACCGGGAAGUUUCCCAACCACUAAGUCUCCACAUAACUAGGACAACCCACUGACUGACCACUUAGAGACCUCUCCACCUUUCUGCACCGUUCCUCCAUCCAGUUACACGGACAUUCACUUUCUCCUUUAAUAUUGCAUCUCUUCUCAGCCUCUGAGACGGCUUAAACCUUUUCCUCAGCAAGUCUCACCUCUCCAGCUCUGUCACCUGAGGGUCCUACUACUGCUCUCUAAACCCUACUCUCUGAAUCGUCCCACCAUUGCCCUCGUGUCCCUGAGGUUCUGCGUUCUGUACUUCGUCCCUCCUGGAAGCCUGGAGUCCUCCCUCCAGUGCUUCAAGCCUCCUCACAGGAUGCUCUAGGUGCCUACUCACGCUCCCUGACCGCGAGGCCCCGCCCCCGAAGUCACCUGAUCAGCCCGAAGCUCCGCCCAUGGAACUGCCUGAGGGAUCUGGCACAAAGACCUAGCCACUGAAGUGUCCUGCCCGGCUCCCUGGGAAGCCGCUGAGCUGGUGAGCACCUGCUGCCCUGGGCGCCUCCUGGAAAACGCUGAGGUGGCGCGCGCAUUCCCCACACCUCAUAAGGGCCUGUGACCUCAUCCGAUCCAACCGAGGCCGGUUGUGGACAUCGUUGGAAGACCGUCCUCGGACUUGGGUCACAGCUGCCUCCUGUUCGACUUUCCGUCCUUCUCUGGUACUCUUAGUCCCGCUGUGGCCUGUCCCCAACUUGAGAAAAGGAAGGGAUGGAAGACCAUGCAUCAUCUCUCCUUAAGUGAUGCUCCUGGAAGUCGUGGACCUCCUUCAUUUGCAUCUCAUGAUCUAGAUGGGCAUGGCACAUCCGGUAUAAGAAGAUUAAGGAGAAAUGUGCUGGGCUGCAUUAGCAGUCUGCCUCGAUGAUGAUUACAAUUAUCAGAAAAAACUAAGUCCAGCCCACACCCACCAACAUUUUUCCCGUUUCUUAACUAGUAACUCCCACUGACCACCAAAGUGACAUUUACACACGGGUCACUGACCCCUCCAAAUUUUGCCAAGUAUGUAUUAGUCACCGGAAAGCCCAGCUAAAUACAUUUUGUAAAAUGUAUUAAAACAGUUAAUUGUGGAACUUUUUCCUUAAAGUUCUUUUCAGAGAAGCCAAGGAUGUAGCUCCAUUUAUAGGGUUUUCUUACAAUCUACAAGAACCCUGGGUUCAAAUCCUAGCACUCCAGUUGAAGGCUGAAGGGUCAGAAGUGCAAGGCCAUCCUAGGUUACAUAGUGAGUUCAAGGCCAGAGUGGGCUACAUGAAACUCUCAAAAGAAAAGAAAGAAACAAAGAAAGAAACAAAGAAACA